UACGGAGGGUGCAAGCGUUAUCCGGAAUCACUGGGCUUAAAGGGUGCGUAGGCGGGCCAGUAAGCGUCUUGUGAAAUCCCCCGGCUCAACCGGGGAACCGCGGGCGAACUGCUGGUCUAGAGGAAGCUAGAGGCGGGUAGAACGAUAGGUGGAGCGGUGGAAUGCGUAGAUAUCUAUCGGAAUGCCGAAAGUGAAGACAGCCCGCUGGGGCUUCCUGACGCUGAGGCACGAAAGCGUGGGGAGCAAACGGG
rnacentral:rRNA from 1 species